UACAGAGGGUGCAAGCGUUGUUCGGAAUCAUUGGGCGUAAAGGGCGUGUAGGCGGUAUGUUAAGUCAUGUGUGAAAUCCCCCGGCUUAACCUGGGAACUGCGUCUGAUACUGGGAGGCUUGAGUAUGGGAGAGGGAUGUAGAAUUCCAGGUGUAGCGGUGAAAUGCGUAGAUAUCUGGAGGAAUACCGGUGGCGAAGGCGGCAUCCUGGACCAUUACUGACGCUGAGGCGCGAAAGCUAGGGGAGCAAACGGG
rnacentral:rRNA from 1 species